rnacentral:snRNA from 1 species
GCCAGGCCUCGAUGAGUA